rnacentral:lncRNA from 1 species
UAAAAAGCUCCUAAUUAGUUGCAUCCAGUCAACACCUCCAACUAAAGCAACCAGAAAAGUGGUUUUAAUGCAAAACAAUAAAAUACUUAUCAGGAUGUUGCACUUCCACGUGUUUGUAAUAUAAGUAUCCCUAUUCUAUGACCAUGAAAUGUUUAAAGAACGGUUAAGAGCAAAAGAUAACAUGAACUAGGCUUCCCAAAAUAAGUGUAGCAAACUAACAGAGAGUGGAUAUGCAUAAGCAAACAGUCUUGAUUUGAAGAUUCACAUUAUUCCAUCCCAAUCCCAGAUGUAUAAACACUUAAUUAUGCUGGAUAUCUGUAAUUAUAGAAUAAAUUAUCUUUCUCAUUAAGAGGAGGGUUCAGAACAGCCCAGAUGUAUAAACACUUAAUUAUGAUGGAUCUCUGUAAUUAUAGUAAUAAAUUAUCUUUCUCAUUAAGAGGAGGGUUCAGAACAGAAAAUCAACAUGUUAAGUACAUUUCCUUUUGGAGUAAUAA